CAGGAUUCGCAAGUCUCCCGUAAACCCCUGUGAACAUACCUAUACUCGUUGCCUCGGCGGGUGCUCCGGUGCGAACCGGGGCGCCAGCCCGCCGGCGGCUCGCUACUCUGCAUUGAAUACUGCAUCUCCGAGCAAUUGCAAACGAAUCA
rnacentral:misc_RNA from 1 species